CAAAAAAAAAAAAAUCAAGCCAACCGUCAAAUGGCCGUCCCCGGGUAGAAGGGGUAGAGUUCGUAUUAUUUUUUUUCCAAUAUUUUUUUUUUUAAAUCAGGCCAAAUCAGAUCAACAAGUCAAACCACCAGUUCUGAUCGGUUCAAUUCCUGAAACUGUGAAUCAAUUCUGAACCCGAUUUACAGAGAGAUUCCAGUUCCAGACGGUGACCAGAUCUAACUCCAAGACAAUGGUUGGAACUUGGAAGCAAUGCAGUCAACAGAGAUUUCUGAAACUAGAGCCAAUAAUAAUUCUAGUCCAAUUUAAAAUUUACAUUGUGCUUCAACCUAAUGCAAGAUAUGUGAUGCCAGACGUUCAAAACUCAAUGCCGCUAUUUAUCUGAACGGAAAACGAUGGUCGACCAACAUCAGAGAGCGGACUAUCAACUCUAACAACAAUUCCUGAACUCCCGGUGCUACCAUUCCACUUAGACCGGCCAAUAGACAGUGAUGCAAAUAUGGAAGGGUGUGUCAUGAAUGCACAGCCGCAGAUCAGAUUCAGUUGUUCAUUUACUGAAUGAAUAAGUUCUGCUCGCAACCCAGGAUUGCUUCCACCCAAAGUUGGGCACAAACUGAACUGAAAUGUAGGCCUCACCAUUAGACCUGAUCUCUGCCAUGCUAAGGCUUGUUCAAAACCUAACGUAAAUGAUUUGUCAGGCCAUUGUACCAUUGGUGUGAUGCGUGUACCCCACUUGUUCUUAUGAGAAAAGCUAAAUCUCAUUUCUCCUGGAUAUUGACCCUGAGCUUGGAGAAGGCCCCCAAAAAGGGGUAGAAAAGCACUUGUAGUCAGCCCCUCACCUGACACAUAGGUAAACUGACCAUUUGGAAACUGCAAAUCUACGAACGACUGCAUGUAGAAAGCGGCAGCAAAAGGAGAAAGCAUAAUAAGAAAUUAGAAAAUUCAUCUCAAGAAACUGACAGAGUGAAGAUUAUAGCUAAUAAAAAAAAAAUUCUGUGACAGCACCUUUCUUGAUAAUUCAUUAACAAGAAGUCAACUACUCAUAAAGAUUGAAAUUGAUUGUCACAAGAUGACCCUAUUCUUUCAUUCAUUCACUAAAUACCACUUCAAGAAUGCACAGAGGUGUUAAAUGCAACCUUGUCAAAAAUUUCAACAUCAAUCACACAGUUCCCCCCCUUGUUUGUUUAACUACUUCAGGAAAAUCAUGCUCAGUGGACUAUUUUUGGGCUUUUUUCUAAACAGGUGUUUUUCAAAAAUUAUAACACAGAAAAGGGGACAUUUAACUAAAUAAGGGCGAUUUAGGCCAGGCUGAAUGAGUCAAAUAGCCAAUCAGCAUUCAAAUUAGCGACCAGCAUAUUUUAAUGGAAUAAAAAAAAAAGCUAAAAAG
rnacentral:misc_RNA from 1 species